rnacentral:tRNA from 1 species
CGCAGGCGGGCCGGCGCCCGCCCGCCCCUCAUAAGGGUGGCUUGCCCGGUUCGACACCGGGGCCUGCGAC